UCUCCUACGCACCCGCAGCCGCCGCGCCAAACCCAAAUCUCUGGAUCUCGAUCCGCCGCCACCGCCGCCCCCAACCCAAACCCCACCGCCACCGUCGACAACCUCCCCUUCCAACCUCCAACUAACCACUGGAUCGUAGCUUCUGCUUUUUGCUGGCGAUGAUGGUGGUGGGUCUGACCCCGAGGCAGCCGGCCAAGGCCUAUGGCAGCGAGGCCGGCGCCUGCUACGAGUGGAGCCCUGCGGAGCUGCCCAUGCUCAGCGUCGCCUUCGGCGCCGCUAAGAUCUCCCUCAUGGCAGACGCGACUGGGCAUCACUCUGGACUGUGCCCGCGUGUUGGAGUUCCUCCACGAGCACACCUCCCCCGCCGUCAUCCACCACGACUUCAACUGCAGCAUCUUCCUCAUCGUCCACAUCGACUUCUGCAGAAGAUCCAUCCCAGCUGCCGACCUCUUCCCGUGGUCCAAGCCGGCUCCCGAAGCUGGCGAACGCGGCGAUACUGUCAAUGAUGACUGGCUCAUGGGACAACGGCGACACUGUCCAGCGCCAACACCGUCACCAUCGUCGGUCGUGUGUUCCGGUCGGCUAGGAGGUAGCCGGCACCCUGGAGGCCCCGAAGCCACUUCGUGGAGUACGGGUUCACGCUAGACGGAGAUGGGAGCAUCAUCGAUGAGGUACUGGUGGUGCCUAUGCUGUCUAUGAGAUCUUACACCCAAGAGGAUGUGGUGGAGCUUCAGUGUAGAGCUACUCAUUUGAUUCAGUUGAAAAGAUGACUAAUUUUUUUUCAUUAAUAGAAACUUCUCAUCUCUUUUCUUCUAUUUUCCUAUCUUCUCUUCUCAUUGCUGCUGUUAAGUUAGGACUUGCUGCUGAUGAUUGCUAUUGUUAGAAAUCAUGAUUGCUUAUUUUAGUGUAGGACUUGCUGCUAUUGCUGUCAUAUUCAUAUUGUAUUUUCCAAAGUUCGAUAGCAUGUCGUCCUUAGGAUAAGUUGUUGAUCAAAAAUGGACUAAAUUAAGGCACUCCCAGGACUUGAUGGUGUUGUUAUUGACCUGCUGAUGUUGUCAAACUGUUGUUGUCAUUAACCUAUUGUUACCGAGCUUUACCUUUGUUUAAGCUUUCUUGUUCUUGCAAUUACUAGUUGUGAUAAUUGUAUGGUGAUAAGAAUGCCUCUACAGGACAAUAUAUUUUGCUGGUUCCACCGUGCCAUCACAUGAAACUUGGUGCUGCUGCUUCCUGGCUGGCUGUAGCUUUGCAUGAAGCAACAAGAGAUGGCUUCACUUUGCAUGCCUAUUUUUUGCCCCCUCCGACUGAGAUGCCAAAGCAUAGAGGGAGCUUGAUAAAGCUUGGACGUUGGUCAGGGCUCCAAUAGUGCUGAUGCUAUUGGGUUGGUUGUGGCCUCAUGCAUGGUAGUAGGCUUGGCUGGCCCCUAAUAUAGAGUGCUAUAUUGUUGAGAGUUUUACCUGUAGAGUGCUAUAUUGUGAUUGGUGAAAUAAUGUAUGGUGUAUAUUGUGAUUGUGUGGAAUAUUGUAAUAAACUGAGUUUGGCUGUUAUUUAAAUUGGUGUGUUGAAAACAAGCUGUGAAAAAUUAAAACUUGAUGAUUGG